rnacentral:misc_RNA from 1 species
GAAAUGCGAUACGUAAUACGAAUUGCAGAUUCAGUGAAUCAUCGAAUCUUUGAACGCAUAUUGCGCCCUCUGGCACUCCAGAGGGCAUGUCCGACCGAGCGCCACUGCCCGCGCUCGGAGGGGACCCCUUCACGGGGGGCCCCUCCGGUGUUGGGGCGCGCGCCGCUGCCACAGCGGUGCCGCCCCGAAAUGCAGUGGCGGCCGCACCCCGCGGACCUCCUGGCGCAGUAAUAAUACCCUGACGUCACGGCGAGUCCCGGGGAGGGCCCGCUCCCAAGAACCCCUGAAUUCCAGCACUGGUUGGCCUCGGGUCGGACAAGAUUACCCGCUGAACUUAA